rnacentral:lncRNA from 1 species
GGGAGGAGCCAGAGGCUCCUCAAUUGCCCUUGUGCUUAAUGUCUAGCAAUAAGACAAAGUUGGGGUUGGCCCUCACUUUGGCUUGAAGAUAAUUUCAGACUGAGAUGUCCCUUUAUGAAAUGGAUGGGCUGGCAGAGCUGAAGCUGGGCAUUAAGAGCAGAGCAUCGGAGAAGAAGCAGCCUCAUUUGCUUCUGGUGUCAUCGUAGGUGUCCACCUUUGGCUUUGGGGCUUCCCAAUUUUUUUUUUUACUGCCAAUUCUUGCUUUUAUCUGGUGCAAUCCCAUAGAAAAUGCAAAUAUUCUGUAGCAAAAGAAUAAUGUAUGAUAAUGUUCACAAUAAUGAACCACUAAGACAGAAAUAAAUAUCUGAACCCACCCUCUUCCA